rnacentral:rRNA from 1 species
UACGGGAGGCAGCAGUGGGGAAUAUUGCACAAUGGGCGCAAGCCUGAUGCAGCCAUGCCGCGUGUAUGAAAAAGGCCUUCGGGUUGUAAAGUACUUUCAGUCGUGAGGAAGGUGUUAAGGUUAAUAACCUUAGCAAUUGACGUUAGCGACAGAAGAAGCACCGGCUAACUCCGUGCCAGCAGCCGCGGUAAUACGGAGGGUGCGAGCGUUAAUCGGAAUUACUGGGCGUAAAGGGCACGCAGGCGGUUAAUUAAGUUGGAUGUGAAAUCCCCGGGCUUAACCUGGGAAUGGCAUUCAAGACUGGUUAGCUAGAGUCUUGUAGAGGGGGUAGAAAUUCCAUGUGUAGCGGUGAAAUGCGUAGAGAUGUGGAGGAAUACCGGUGGCGAAGGCGGCCCCUGGACAAAGACUGACGCUCAUGUGCGAAAAGCGUGGGGAGCAAAACAGGGAUUAGAUACC